rnacentral:rRNA from 1 species
AUGACCAGAGAUAACCUCAGGAAAAGACAGAUUAUCAAACCUCUGGAUUGUGUUUUCUGCUCUGAGGUUGUAUCAAGUGCCCACUUAUUCUUUGAAUGUGUGGUGGGUAGGUAGAUUUGGCCAAUGAUUAAAAGUCAUUUUGAGGUGGACAUAGGGACUGACUUUGAAUCAGUUGCUAAAUUUUGGAUCUCUAAUAAAAAACACUCAACACUUAACUCUGUCGCUGUUAUACUUUGGUGUAUUUGGAAAUAUAGGAACUCUAUCAUUUUUAAUAACACCUUAUGGAUCUCGAUUAAGCAGGUGCUGAGGUUAAUCUUAAGGACUAUCAAGAACUGGACAGUGCUAUCCCCGGAGAAGAUUGCAGAAAGGCUGGAGGCCUUCUCAACAUAUCUUGCAAACUUCAUGAGACGCCCCUUGAUGAUCAGUGGUUGA